AAAUAGUUGUGUUAUUGUUGUUAAAAAUUUAAAUUUAUUUAUAAGGAGAAAUUUUUAUUUUAUUAGUUAGUAUGAAGUGAUAUGUUUAUUUGUUUAUAAAAAUAAGUAUUUAUGAUAGAGGAUUAGUAUUGUGAAAGAAUUAAUAAAAAUUUAUAAAAAGAAGAAUUAAUUUUUUGUACCUUGUGUAUCAGGGUUUAUUAAAUAAAUUUUAAGAAUUUGAUUUUCUCGAAUUUAGAAGAGCUAUAAGUAUACAGUUAUUAUUGUGACAUAAAUAUAGGAAAUAUGCUUAUGGAAGUGAAAUGCUAUUCGAUUUUAAAUAUAUCUAGUUUUUUAAGAAAAAAAUUUAAUUUUAUUUUUAUUUAUUAUGAUUUUAAUUGUUAAAUUUUAUAAUAGUAAGAUUUUAUGUUUUAAGGGAUGAGCUUUAUUACAUAGUUGAUAAAAUUUAUUUAUAAAAAUUUUAUUGAAUAGGAUUAUAAGUUUUCAUUUUUUAUAGUGUAUUAUAACUGUAUAAAUGAAUAGAAGAAUUUAUAUGUAAAUUUAUUUUAUUUAUUAAAAUAUAAUUUUUAUUGUAAAAAAAUUAGGAAAAAUGAUAAAAUUAGUAUAAUUUUAUGUGUAUAGUUUAGAAUAGGAAAGGUUAAUUAAAGGAACUCGGCAAAUAUAUUUUUCACCUGUUUAUUAAAAACAUGGCUUAUUGAUAAUAAUUUUAAGUCUGGCCUGCUCUAUGAUGAUAAAUUAAAUGGCCGCGGUAUUUUGACCGUGCAAAGGUAGCAUAAUCAUUAGUUUUUUAAUUGAAAGCUUGUAUGAAAGGUUUGAUGAAAAAAAAACUGUCUCUAUUUAAGUUAAAUAGAAUUUUAUUUUUAAGUGAAAAAGCUUAAAUGUGUAUAGAAGACGAGAAGACCCUAUAGAGUUUGAUAUUUAUUUUUAUAAGUAAAAUUUUAGUAUUUUCUAGCUUAUGAAAAUAAUUAUUUAGUUGGGGUGAUUAAAAAAUUGAUUAAACUUUUUUUUUAUUUAAACAUUGAUUUAUGAUUAAAUGAUCCUUGAGUAAAGAUUAAAAGAUAAAAUUACCUUAGGGAUAACAGCGUAAUUUUUUUUUAGAGUUCUAAUCGAAAAAAAAGAUUGCGACCUCGAUGUUGGAUUAAAAGAAAUUAUUGGUGAAGAAGCUGAUAAAUUGGGUCUGUUCGACCUUUAAAAUUUUACAUGAUCUGAGUUUAAACCGGUGUGAGCCAGGUUGGUUUCUAUCUCUAUAAAUAGAAAAUAUUUUAGUACGAAAGGACCAAAUAUUUAAUUUAAAAUUUAAAUAUUGAAAAUUAUU
rnacentral:rRNA from 1 species